rnacentral:rRNA from 1 species
UACAGAGGUGGCAAGCGUUGUUCGGAAUUACUGGGCGUAAAGGGCGCGUAGGCGGCCUUCUAAGUCAGAGGUGAAAUCCCCAGGCUUAACUUGGGAACUGCGUCUGAUACUGGGAGGCUUGAGUGCGGGAGAGGGAUGUGGAAUUCCAGGUGUAGCGGUGAAAUGCGUAGAUAUCUGGAGGAACACCGGUGGCGAAGGCGGCAUCCUGGACCGACACUGACGCUGAGGCGCGAAAGCUAGGGGAGCAAACGGG